UCCGGCCGCCACCGCCCCCUACGACCACUACCGGAGCUACUCUGCGCGACAUUUGGUCGCCCGCAAUCGCGGAUCCCUGCCGUCGCGCCGGCGGAUGACUCAGGUCACUACGUCCACAUCGUUGGUGCUUCGAGGGGCGACCUGCAGUUAGCCCCUACCCUCCGUGUCCUAGCGGCCACCACAUGCGGGCGACUGCACCCAUCGUCAGCACGAGAAGGGGUCCUCCGACGAGUGCGCGUGCAGUACCCUUUAGGGGUGAGGCACUUGCUUUUUGGCUGUCGACACCUCCAUCACCCAGUUUUGGCUGUCGAUGGAGACCAUCGGUGAAGUUUGCCACCUCCCCGCCUUCUACUGCCGCUCUGAGUGGUCAUGCAGAUCCUGCAGGGCUCCAGCUCGGCGUGCACAGCUCGUGCGCACACAUGAUCCGGUUCAGUGCUAGGGCACUCGCAGCCUUUUUUGCGUGCAGCUGCAGUUCGUUUGGACUCUGUGUGCAGUGAAGUUCGGGCGAGCCAUGAUGACAGAAAAGGAAGGAAAUUAAGUGGGUCGAAAAGGGAACAGAAUUAAAACCCCACUUGCCGAGGAGACAACAAUCCGCAAGCAUCAUGCGCAUGCAGUUCCUUUUGUAUAUGCUUACAAUACGGUGUGUGUAUGUGUGCUGUACACCCCCAUCGCUUAUUUUGUGUGGCAGCUCAUUAGACCUCUGUAUGAAGUGUGUCGUCUGUCUCGAGUA